rnacentral:rRNA from 1 species
ACAAUGGGCGCAAGCCUGAUGGAGCAACACCGCGUGAGUGAAGAAGGGUUUCGGCUCGUAAAGCUCUGUUGUUAAAGAAGAACACGUAUGAGAGUAACUGUUCAUACGUUGACGGUAUUACCAGAAAGUCACGGCUAACUACGUGCCAGCAGCCGCGGUAAUACGUAGGUGGCAAGCGUUAUCCGGAUUUAUUGGGCGUAAAGAGAGUGCAGGCGGUUUUCUAAGUCUGAUGUGAAAGCCUUCGGCUUAACCGGAGAAGUGCAUCGGAAACUGGAUAACUUGAGUGCAGAAGAGGGUAGUGGAACUCCAUGUGUAGCGGUGGAAUGCGUAGAUAUAUGGAAGAACACCAGUGGCGAAGGCGGCUACCUGGUCUGCAACUGACGCUGAGACUCGAAAGCAUGGGUAGCGAACAGGAUUAGAUACCCUGGUAG